rnacentral:rRNA from 1 species
UACGUAGGGGGCAAGCGUUGUCCGGAUUUAUUGGGCGUAAAGAGCGUGUAGGCGGCCGCACAGGUCCGUUGUGAAAACUGGAGGCUUAACCUUCAGACGUCGAUGGAAACCGUGCGGCUAGAGUCCGGAAGAGGAGAGUGGAAUUCCUGGUGUAGCGGUGAAAUGCGUAGAUAUCGGGAGGAACACCAGUGGCGAAGGCGGCUUUCUGGCCUGUUCUUGACGCUGAGGCGCGAAAGCUAGGGGAGCGAACGGG